rnacentral:rRNA from 1 species
GAUGAACGCUGGCGGCGUGCUUAACACAUGCAAGUCGAACGGUGAAGCAGAGCUUGCUCUGUGGAUCAGUGGCGAACGGGUGAGUAACACGUGAGCAACCUGCCCCUGACUCUGGGAUAAGCGCUGGAAACGGCGUCUAAUACUGGAUAUGAGCUGCGACCGCAUGGUCAGCAGUUGGAAAGAUUUUUCGGUCUGGGAUGGGCUCACGGCCUAUCAGCUUGUUGGUGAGGUAAUGGCUCACCAAGGCGUCGACGGGUAGCCGGCCUGAGAGGGUGACCGGCCACACUGGGACUGAGACACGGCCCAGACUCCUACGGGAGGCAGCAGUGGGGAAUAUUGCACAAUGGGCGAAAGCCUGAUGCAGCAACGCCGCGUGAGGGAUGACGGCCUUCGGGUUGUAAACCUCUUUUAGCAGGGAAGAAGCGAAAGUGGCGGUACCUGCAGAAAAAGCGCCGGCUAACUACGUG